rnacentral:rRNA from 1 species
AAUGAACGCUGGCGGCGUGCUUAACACAUGCAAGUCGUACGAGAACUCUUCUGCUUGCAGAAGAUAGUAAAGUGGCGCACGGGUGAGUAACGCGUGGGUAAUCUACCUCCGACUCGGGGAUAACAUUGCGAAAGCGAUGCUAAUACCGGAUGAAAUCCCGAAUCCCUUGGGGUUCGGGAUCAAAGGUGGUCUCUACAUGUAAACUAUCGAUCGGAGAUGAGCCCGCGUACCAUUAGCUUGUUGGUAGGGUAACGGCCUACCAAGGCUACGAUGGUUAGCUGGUCUGAGAGGAUGAUCAGCCACACUGGAACUGACACACGGUCCAGACUCCUACGGGAGGCAGCAGUGAGGAAUUUUGCGCAAUGGGGGAAACCCUGACGCAGCAACGCCGCGUGAGUGAUGAAGGCUUUCGGGUCGUAAAGCUCUGUCGAGUGGGAAGAAAAAGCCUGAUGCAAAUACCAUCGGGAAUUGACGGUACCGCUGAAGGAAGCACCGGCUAACUCCGUG